UACGGAGGGUGCAAGCGUUACUCGGAAUCACUGGGCGUAAAGGGCGCGUAGGCGGGUUGUCAAGUCUUAAGUGAAAUCCAACGGCUCAACCGUUGAACUGCUUGAGAAACUGGCAGCCUAGAGUGAGGGAGAGGCAGAUGGAAUUGGUGGUGUAGGGGUAAAAUCCGUAGAGAUCACCAGGAAUACCCAUUGCGAAGGCGAUCUGCUGGAACUUUACUGACGCUGAGGCGCGAAAGCGUGGGGAGCAAACAGG
rnacentral:rRNA from 1 species